GGGUAUUCAUAACAAAAAAUCACAAACAGGGAUAUCUAUAUAGCAAAGUUCGUAAAGUCAUUAAGAAGUGACAAAGAAAAGAAUAAUGGCAUCAAUCUGUAAAGGGAAGAACUCAUGGCCAGAACUAGUUGGGGUUGAUGGAGACGCAGCGGCCGCAACUAUCAAGAGACAAAAUGGUAACAUCGUGAGCGCAAUUGUCGUGCUAGAAGGAACAUCGGUAUCAGAGGAUUUCAGGUGCACUAGGGUCUGGGUCUGGGUUAAUGGCAGCGGAAUCGUCACCACAAUACCUAAAAUUGGUUAAAACUUGGUGAAAAUCAAAAAUAAGUGGCACAUGGUUGUUGUCUUUCAAAUAUUUCCGCAUAAAUAUAUGUUACUGAUAAAAUAAAGGGAUGCAUGUAACGUUUCUUAUCAAAUAUCAAGAAUAUCAAACUAAAUAUUAA